rnacentral:rRNA from 1 species
UGGUCUUGACAUGUACAGAAGGUUUUAGAGAUAAGACUGUGCCUUCGGGAACUGUAACACAGGUGCUGCAUGGCUGUCGUCAGCUCGUGUCGUGAGAUGUUGGGUUAAGUCCCGCAACGAGCGCAACCCUUGUCAUUAGUUGCCAUCAUUAAGUUGGGCACUCUAAUGAGACCGCCGGUGAUAAACCGGAGGAAGGUGGGGAUGAUGUCAAGUCAUCAUGGCCCUUAUGACCAGGGCUUCACACGUCAUACAAUGGUAGGUACAGAGGGUAGCGAAGCGGCGACGUGAAGCCAAUCUCAGAAAGCCUAUCGUAGUCCGGAUUGUAGUCUGCAACUCGACUACAUGAAGUCGGAAUCGCUAGUAAUCGCAGAUCAGCAUGUUGCGGUGAAUACGUUCCCGGGUC